UGGGGAAUAUUGCACAAUGGGCGCAAGCCUGAUGCAGCCAUGCCGCGUGUGUGAAGAAGGCCUUCGGGUUGUAAAGCACUUUCAGCGAGGAGGAAGGUGGUGAACUUAAUACGUUCAUCAAUUGACGUUACUCGCAGAAGAAGCACCGGCUAACUCCGUGCCAGCAGCCGCGGUAAUACGGAGGGUGCAAGCGUUAAUCGGAAUUACUGGGCGUAAAGCGCACGCAGGCGGUUUGUUAAGUCAGAUGUGAAAUCCCCGGGCUCAACCUGGGAACUGCAUUUGAAACUGGCAAGCUAGAGUCUCGUAGAGGGGGGUAGAAUUCCAGGUGUAGCGGUGAAAUGCGUAGAGAUCUGGAGGAAUACCGGUGGCGAAGGCGGCCCCCUGGACGAAGACUGACGCUCAGGUGCGAAAGCGUGGGGAGCAAACAGGAUUAGAUACCCCUGGUAGUCCACGCUGUAAACGAUGUCGAUUUUGGAGGUUGUGCCCUUGAGGCGUGGCUUCCGGAGCUAACGCGUUAAAUCGACCGCCUGGGGAGUACGGCCGCAAGGUUAAAACUCAAAGGAAUUGACGGGGUCUAGCUG
rnacentral:rRNA from 1 species